ACGAACGCUGGCGGCGUGCCUAAUACAUGCAAGUCGAACGCUUCUUUCCUCCCGAGUGCUUGCACUCAAUUGGAAAGAGGAGUGGCGGACGGGUGAGUAACACGUGGGUAACCUACCCAUCAGAGGGGGAUAACACUUGGAAACAGGUGCUAAUACCGCAUAACAGUUUAUGUCGCAUGGCAUAAGAGUGAAAGGCGCUUUCGGGUGUCGCUGAUGGAUGGACCCGCGGUGCAUUAGCUAGUUGGUGAGGUAACGGCUCACCAAGGCCACGAUGCAUAGCCGACCUGAGAGGGUGAUCGGCCACACUGGGACUGAGACACGGCCCAGACUCCUACGGGAGGCAGCAGUAGGGAAUCUUCGGCAAUGGACGAAAGUCUGACCGAGCAACGCCGCGUGAGUGAAGAAGGUUUUCGGAUCGUAAAACUCUGUUGUUAGAGAAGAACAAGGACGUUAGUAACUGAACGUCCCCUGACGGUAUCUAACCAGAAAGCCACGGCUAACUACGUGCCAGCAGCCGCGGUAAUACGUAGGUGGCAAGCGUUGUCCGGAUUUAUUGGGCGUAAAGCGAGCGCAGGCGGUUUCUUAAGUCUGAUGUGAAAGCCCCCGGCUCAACCGGGGAGGGUCAUUGGAAACUGGGAGACUUGAGUGCAGAAGAGGAGAGUGGAAUUCCAUGUGUAGCGGUGAAAUGCGUAGAUAUAUGGAGGAACACCAGUGGCGAAGGCGGCUCUCUGGUCUGUAACUGACGCUGAGGCUCGAAAGCGUGGGGAGCAAACAGG
rnacentral:rRNA from 1 species